UUUUUAUUGUUUAAAAAUUAAAAAUAAUAAACCUAUUUUGACAAAUAAAAAGCUUCUUCUCAUCCAGAACUAACCGCUCCCGCAUCAACGACUUCUAUUCACAGGACCUUAGUCAGUCACCCUCUGUUAUCCUUCUUCUCCUAUUUCCUCCAUAGCCACCGCGGUCCACCAUCGUAAGACCUCCAAACCACCGCACCACAUCAAUUUUCAUUGUGCUGCAGGUGUUUGAUUAAUUGCAUGUGUGAGAAAAUUGGGAGAACACUCUUCUAGUUUACUCUUGUUUUGUGGCCCAAUGGAGGCUCACUGUUAGAUACAAACCUCACUUUCUUUGCGCAACACCGAACCAAGAGAGUGAACUACCCCACCACACACAGUUAAGCCAAUCAGUGUCGAGUUGAUAUAUCUACAUAUAAUUCACCAUACAUCUCUGUGACCCAUCCUAGAUCAGCAGGACAUGGCUUGCCUGUUUUAAGUGAAGAAAGUACCCUGGUAUCUUCUGAUACUGGCAAAGAAAUUUGGGUCUCUGCUUCAAUAGUACAUGAGGAAUUCUGUAUGGAGAAAACAGAGGAUAUUUUACAGGGUGUAUAUUUUAAAACAGAUUAUAUGGUCAUCAGAAUCAUUGUAUUACAUGAAAUAAAUACAAACACAUUUAUAUCUAGAA